UACGUAGGUGGCAAGCGUUGUCCGGAUUUACUGGGCGUAAAGAGCGCGCAGGCGGUCGUCCAAGUCGCGUGUGAAAGCCCCCCGGCUCAACUGGGGAGGGUCACGCGAUACUGGUCGACUCGAAGGCAGGAGAGGGUAGUGGAAUUCCCGGUGUAGUGGUGAAAUGCGUAGAUAAUCGGGAGGAACACCAGUGGCGAAGGCGACUACCUGGCCUGUUCUUGACGCUGAGGCGCGAAAGCUAGGGGAGCAAACGGG
rnacentral:rRNA from 1 species